GGGGAUUUAGCUCAGUGGUAGAGAGCUUGCCUAGCAAGUGCAAGGCCCUGGGUUCGGUUCCCAGCUCCA
rnacentral:tRNA from 1 species